rnacentral:sRNA from 1 species
GCCUCUGACCCCGGCCGAGCCGGGAACUCAGCGCCAGCUCCGUUCCUGGCGGGGGUGAGGCUUCCCUAACACUUCAGGCUAUCUGGCAAACGUCCUGGGGCUGCCACUCCUUCUGGGCUCCAGGCUCACAGGCUGUGCCUGAGAAGAAAACAGAACUGCCAGCAGACUAUGGGACAAACGACUAAAUGCCCUCCAGACAUUCCAGAGUCCUCUGCCUCUCAGACUUCAGUUCUUCCUGAAGGAAUCUGGAGACGGAAAGCAGGAAGCAAUUUGCUGUGGAAUUUUUUCCAUCACAGACUCCAAGUUCCUCAGCCUUUGGACUCUUGAACUUACGCCAGUGUUUUGCCAGGAGCGCUCGGGCCUUUGGCCACAGACUGAAGGCUGCAUUGUCAGCUUUCCUACUUUUGAGGUUUUGGGACUCAGACUGAUCCACCACUGGCUUCCUUGCUCUUCAACUUGAAGACGGCCUAUCGUGAGACUUUACCUCGUGAUUAUCCUUGCCUGGAUUCUCCACCUCCUCAACCCCAGGAAGCAACAAGCUAUCAAAGACAGAAUUUGCACAAGAGGACAAAGGAAGGCUAUAAGCUUCUUGAAGGCAGAGAUUAUAUCUCAUUCAAUCUUCUAUCUCAAGUAUCUACUGCAAAACCAAGCAAACGGCGAUCUGAGCACCUGAUGGCAGAACUGGAAGAGGUGAAAGAAAACCCCAGGGACACUCUGGACAUGUUCUGUAUUAUUUGGAUCCAGACUGGUCUGAAUUUAUCAAAAGAGAUUAACAUGAUAUAAACCAAGAGGGAAAUGAAGAAACGAAGCAUGUUCAUUUUGGAUUGAAGAAAAGUUUGUCAUUAUAAUGUAUCUUCAGAUUUGGUUGCCAUGCAGGGCAAUUUACUGUUCUUUUGAUCUUUUUCUCUGUUUAAAAAGACAAGGACUAGGCGAGGAAUGGAGCAGGUGAAGCAACGCUGACAUUAUUAGUGUGCGUGUGAACCUCUGAUAUGCUAAUAGGCAAAGUGGGUGGAAUGGAAUUGCUCUUAAAUAAGUAAAAAACUUAACAUUCAAUUACCUUUAAAAAUGGGCAUAAUUUGGAGGGUUUCAUUUAACACACUGCAGGUAAAAUCUAAUUUUGUUUUUCUAAACUUUCCUUUGCUAAUGCAAGGCAGGAGAGUUUUGUGUGUGUUUAAAUAGACCAAAGUCUCACUGGGGAGAGUCAGAGGUCUGGGAUUCUCAUAUUUUGGAGACAGUAAUUUGAUUUUCCUAGGAUCCUUUUUUUUUUUUUUUAGCAGAAAAAUGUGGUAACAGUGUCAUCCAGUCACAGCCAUGGAGACGACCCAGUAGGGAUUCAUAGAAUUUUGCAAAUGUUCCUCUGUCCCGUGAGAUGAAAUUCCUUUCCCAUCCAAAGUACCCACCCAAAGAGAAAACUAUCCUAGGACUUUUGCUUCUUCCAGAAAUUACUUCAGACAUCUCCCCCUUUCAGACUCUCUCUCUUUCCCCUGCUGUUUCAUUUCCUCUGGUUGUAGUAAUGUAGAAACCCUUUGUGUCGUGCAGGGGCUAAGAGCAUGCUCUCUGAAGCCGCGCAGCCUCCCAGACAGUCUAGACACUGGUGUUGAUGAACUGUACCAUCUUGAUUAUUUCACUGAACCCCUUUGAGGUUUUCCUCACGUAGAAAAUGGGGAUAGUAAUAGUUCCUACUGCCUAGUGUUGUUUUGAAGAUUAAAUGAAACUGUGCAUGUAAAGUGGUAAGCACCAGAUGGUGUUAGCAGUUGUUAUUGUUGCUAUUAUUAUUACUGUUACUUUUAAUUUGUAGGUGUUUGAGCCAAGCCCAGGGCCUCCUGCAUGUGCCAGCUUCAGCAGCUGCACCAGCAGUCCCCACUGGGCACUGUGGCAGUGGUGGUGAUGGAGGAGGAGGUGGUGGUAAAGAGGGAAAAAGUGUAUUAAGCAGAGGGAGGCGAGGCAGGAGGAAGGCAUGAUGGGAGGGUAAUAUGGUUAGGCUUUGUAUCCCUACCCAAAUCUCAUCUUGAAUUGUAAUUCCCAGGUGGUUAGGGAGAGACUGGUGGGAAGUGAUUGGAUUAUGGGGGCAGUUUCCUACACGCUGUUCUCAUCUCGUGAUAGUGAGUGAGUUCUCGCUAGAUCUGAUGAUUUUAUAAGGGGCUCUUCCCCCUUCAAUCCUCAUACUCUCUCUCCUGCCGCCAUGUGAGGGAAGGUCUUAGCUUGCUUCUCCUUUGCCUUCUGCCAUGAUUGUAAAUUUCCUGAGGCCUCCGCAGCCAUGUGGAACUGUGAGUCAAUUAAACCUCUUUCCUUUAUAAAUU